UCUGCCGUGAAAACCUGGGGCUCAACCCCGGGCGUGCGGUGGAUACUGCCGGGCUAGAGGGUGGUAGAGGCGAGGUGGAAUUCCCGGUGUAGCGGUGAAAUGCGCAGAUAUCGGGAGGAACACCAGUAGCGAAGGCGGCUCGCUGGGCCAUUCCUGACGCUGAGACGCGAAAGCGUGGGGAGCGAACAGGAUUAGAUACCCUGGUAGUCCACGCCGUAAACGAUGAACACUAGGUGUUGGGGGAGUCGAAUCCCUCGGUGCCGCAGCCAACGCGCUAAGUGUUCCGCCUGGGGAGUACGGCCGCAAGGCUAAAACUCAAAAGAAUUGACGGGGGCCCGCACAAGCAGCGGAGCAUGUUCUUUAAUUCGAUGCAACGCGAAGAACCUUACCUGGGCUUGACAUGGUGCUGCUAGCCGCACGGAAACGUGUGACCUUCGAGGGUGCACCACAGAUGCUGCAUGGCUGUCGUCAGCUCGUGUCGUGAGAUGUUGGGUUAAGUCCCGCAACGAGCGCAACCCCCGUGGUGUGUUGC
rnacentral:rRNA from 1 species